UGAAGUUACACCUCACAAAAAUUUCUCCCCUAGGAAUGCUAUACAUAUGAUUAAGGUGAAGCAUGUUUAAAUCACGAAGUUCAAGCAUCAUAUCCAUCCAUUUAAGCAUUUACUGGAUGAGGAAUUUUAUAUGUGAGUGAGUGUAUAUAAGUACAUAAGCAUCUAUAUGUCAAUACAUACGUAUACGUGCAUGCAUAUAGA
rnacentral:misc_RNA from 1 species